UGGGCGCAAGCCUGAUGCAGCCAUGCCGCGUGUAUGAAGAAGGCCUUCGGGUUGUAAAGUACUUUCAGCAGUGAGGAAGGCGGAGUCGUUAAUAGCGGCCUCGUUUUGACGUUAGCUGCAGAAGAAGCACCGGCUAACUCCGUGCCAGCAGCCGCGGUAAUACGGAGGGUGCGAGCGUUAAUCGGAAUUACUGGGCGUAAAGCGCAUGCAGGUGGUUUGUUAAGUCAGAUGUGAAAGCCCGGGGCUCAACCUCGGAAUUGCAUUUGAAACUGGCAGACUAGAGUACUGUAGAGGGGGUAGAAUUUCAGGUGUAGCGGUGAAAAUGCGUAGAGAUCUGAAGGAAUACCGGUGGCGAAGGCGGCCCCCUGGACAGAUACUGACACUCAGAUGCGAAAGCGUGGGGAGCAAACAGGAUUAGAUACCCUGGUAG
rnacentral:rRNA from 1 species